rnacentral:lncRNA from 1 species
CUUUAUAUUUCGAGUCGUUAGAGAGAAUGACAAUGAUUUUCUAAGUCGAUGUUUGGAUGCUGAAAUUAGGAUGGUGCAACAGGGGCAUGGUGCCACGGGCUGGGUAUGGCAGCCCCUCAGGAGGCAGAAGCAGGUUCAAACCCCCCCCAACCAACGAGAGACACGUGCAGUUCAACAAAACACGAAGGCUUCCCCAAGGCCAGACACAAUGGCAGCUGAUAAAGUUCGUGGAUUCCUUGGCUGUGAAUAAGCACAAUAGAGAAAGACACCCAGGGUCCUAGUGGCUCCCGGUUGAUGAGCGAGGACAAUGGUCUGGCAUUUUUUAACAGUAGAGUCCAGCGAUGGGCAAGGGCUGGAGGUCCUGGAGUGGGAGGUCCCAGCUUUGGAUCAGGCUUGCCGGAGGACCGUGGCCAAUGUCUGUCUGGACACCAGCUACAGGGCAUGGGUGGAAGACUCGGAGAGGGAUACUCAAACGGACUAAAAAGACCUCAAAAGGGUAAAGGAUGGGGCCCUGUUCAAAUAAUGACUGAAGGAUGAUAAACGUUAGCAAGAGUUUAUGAAUUAAUGAAGAGCAAGCCAAGGAGCUGUUCACUCUCCUGGUCGGGGGAGCUGGGCAGGGGCGCUCGUGGUCACAUGAGGUGCUGCCACGGGGCUGGGAGAGCCACUCGAGUCGCUGACCUCGUGGUGUCCCAUCCACUCUGCCUUCUAGAACUCUGUGUAGCCUCUUGCUGUGGAUUUCACCCUUUGUCCCUCCUGGGGCUCCUCCCUCUGUCCAGGGCCACACGCGCAGGAGGCGGGAACGAGUGGGGGAGUUCGGGCUUUUCCCAGCAGCUCACCUGGAAGGCUGCUUUCUGACGUGAGGACUCAGUUUCCUUCUGCAUGUUCUGCCUUUCUCCGAAGCCCAGCGCCCUCCGCUGUCCGAUCCGUCCCAGGUUCUGUCAAAUGAUGGUUUAGCUGGCGGUUCCUCCCAGCUCUUGAACUUACUGCUCAACUGGGCCACAGGACUGCCAGAGCC